UACGUAGGGUGCAAGCGUUGUCCGGAAUUAUUGGGCGUAAAGAGCUUGUAGGCGGUUUGUCGCGUCUGCUGUGAAAUUUCGGGGCUCAACCCCGAACUUGCAGUGGGUACGGGCAGACUAGAGUGUGGUAGGGGAGACUGGAAUUCCUGGUGUAGCGGUGAAAUGCGCAGAUAUCAGGAGGAACACCAAUAGCGAAGGCAGCUCGCUGGGACGGUACUGACGCUAAGGCGCGAAAGCGUGGGGAGCGAACAGG
rnacentral:rRNA from 1 species